rnacentral:rRNA from 1 species
UACGGAGGAUGCAAGCGUUAUCCGGAAUUAUUGGGCGUAAAGCGUCUGUAGGUGGCUUUUUAAGUCCGCCGUCAAAUCCCAGGGCUCAACUCUGGACAGGCGGUGGAAACUGCCAAGCUGGAGUACGGUAGGGGCAGAGGGAAUUUCCGGUGGAGCGGUGAAAUGCGUAGAGAUCGGAAAGAACACCAGCGGCGAAAGCGCUCUGCUGGGCCGACACUGACACUGAGAGACGAAAGCUAGGGGAGCGAAUGGG